rnacentral:lncRNA from 1 species
ACAUGUUAGAAGCCCUCCCACAGGCCGUUUGCCUAAGGAAACUACUGUUCUUUGGAGGCAUUGACUAUCUAGAUGACAGUGUCCCCACUGUGUGUUCCACAAAUGUGCUGGCAACCAGUGCUUGAUGCCACAGGAGUCGCAAAGCAGCACAACCCAAGGACGUGCUUCUCAAAGCUGCAGUCAUCACCAAAGCCAGGACAGAGCUCCAGAAGGUGCUGCACAAGAACACAAGGUCAAGGCUGGCCAGUUCCCACACGUCUGCCAUCACAGCUACUCUGCAGCUGAGACUGCGAGAUCUGUAAGUUCAAGGCUUGUAAGAGCUUCGGGCUGAGUUCAAGGCCAGCCUGGGUAAUUUUGUGACGUCCUGUCUCAAAAUAAAAGCAAGAUAGUUCUGGCAGUAGAGUGUUUGUCUAUAAUUCACAAGGCCCCAUAUCCAAUACCCAUCAUCACAAAAUAAAGUAAAUAUGUGACUGAGAAUGAAUGAAGAUGGUACCAUGGCCUUCAAACGGGGAGUUUCAGCAGGCGGAGGAUUGCACAGGGAUGAGAAGACAGGCCUCACAAGGAGCUCGGUGGUAAGGCAAAGGAAGAGCAAUUCCCAGUUAAUGGUUUACUGCAUUCUAAUUACAGCCACAACCUCUGCAAUAGUUGUCUCCAGUUAAAACCAAAGAGCAGCAUCUUUGCUGUCUUCUGUGACCACCAGAGGCUGAAGGAGAAGAUUCGACAGCAAACAACUGGCUUCUGUUUGCUGGGUCAGGGUCAGGUGUGGUGGCUUUCCGAUGUUAUCCUGACCAGAGUACAGAUUUGGAAGGUGCAUUCUGUACAUUGGAGAAUUAAGCACAUAGAGUUGUAACACUUUCAGUCCAGGAAUGGGGGGUAGGGUGCCUAACAGUAGCUUUAUUAAUAAACAUUUAAUUAUUCCUCAUAACAGACCUGGUACUAUAUGCCUAUAGUUCUAGCACUUAAGAAUGGCAGGAGGAUUAGGCAUGCAAGAUGGCCUUGACUGUGUAGUAAGGUUAGGACCAGGCUGAGCUAUAUAUCUCAACUGGAGGAAAAAAAGUCUAUAGUCUUUUUCCCACAUAUACCCAUCUUCAAUGGGGCACUUUUGCCUGCUGGGGGCUAAUCUCACUACAUUCAUAACAGUUAGUCAUGGAACUGCCUUUCAAACAUGAAGAAGGGGACAGGGCCAAAGAUGGUUUCCUCAUCUGCUCUGUCUUUCCAUUCACAAAGACACUUUUCUGCCAGAGGCAUUACAGAACAGUUAUCUUGAAACCCCAUUGCCAGAACUCAGUUAUAUGCUAUGCCCUAGCAAGAGUUAAGCUAGUCAUAAGUUCCCAUGGCCCUAGUACACCUUGACCGAUUCCAUGAGGUCAGUUUGUCUCUGCUUGCUCCCUCAGUGAAGCCAGAGAAGGGUGUGAGGAUAGCAGAUGCUAAGUGAUGACCUGUAUCUGCCUUGUGUGCCCCUUCCUGUUAGCUCUGUGUCAACUGUAGCCUGUGAGUAGAGUCCUAAAAUUAACACCCCUAACACGUAACAUAUGUACCUGACUUGUACAAGAAUGGCAGGUCAAAAUUCUAAGCAGCACACUUUCAUUCUGCAGAAGUACAUAGGACUGCAGUUCUGUUCCUAACAUCCACAUUCGGUGGCUCACAGCUACCUGUAACUGUAGCAUCAGGACAUCUGAGCUCCUCUGCUGACCUCCAAAAGGACUCCCAUGUGUGUACGUGUGUACACAUAAAUACACACAGAAAUAAUUAGUGCACAUAACAUAACGUAACUAAAACAAAUGAAUCUUUUUUUACAGAACAGUUAUCUUGAAACCCCAUUGCCAGAACUCAGUUAUAUGCUAUGCCCUAGCAAGAGUUAAGCUAGUCAUAAGUUCCCAUGGCCCUAGUACACCUUGACCGAUUCCAUGAGGUCAGUUUGUCUCUGCUUGCUCCCUCAGUGAAGCCAGAGAAGGGUGUGAGGAUAGCAGAUGCUAAGUGAUGACCUGUAUCUGCCUUGUGUGCCCCUUCCUGUUAGCUCUGUGUCAACUGUAGCCUGUGAGUAGAGUCCUAAAAUUAACACCCCUAACACGUAACAUAUGUACCUGACUUGUACAAGAAUGGCAGGUCAAAAUUCUAAGCAGCACACUUUCAUUCUGCAGAAGUACAUAGGACUGCAGUUCUGUUCCUAACAUCCACAUUCGGUGGCUCACAGCUACCUGUAACUGUAGCAUCAGGACAUCUGAGCUCCUCUGCUGACCUCCAAAAGGACUCCCAUGUGUGUACGUGUGUACACAUAAAUACACACAGAAAUAAUUAGUGCACAUAACAUAACGUAACUAAAACAAAUGAAUCUUUUUUUUUUUUGACAGAAUCUCACUGUACAGCUCUGGCUUCCUGACUGGACUGGAAUUCUCCAUGUAGCCUAGGCUAGCCUUCACCUCACAGAAAUCUGCAAGCCUGCUAGGAUGCAGUGCAUGCCAUCACUCCUGACAAAAUAUCUUUUAAAAAAAGAUUGGUGAAUGAAUGUACAUUUAUGUAUAAAUAUUAUCUAUAUUGAAUACCUUUUUUGUGUAUCUCUUGAACUAAACUAAACUUAACCUGCAAAAGUCUUGUCCUAGCUGGUUUUGACAAGACUACUUCUUAUAAUUGUUGGUGUCUUUGCUGGAGCUCCCUAUUCAGUUGGUUCAAGGGCGGGUUUAGUGCCCCAUCUUAAACUCUAGGACUGCGGUUUCAGUUUCGACAGUAACUGUGGAGCUGCACGCACUCACCGAGCUCUGGAAGUGUGCGGGAUGUGACCAGUGGGAUGCAGGAGCUAAACUUUUAAUCUUGUUAAGUUUUAAUUUAUUUAAAUUUAAAUUUUAUUCAGUCCAUAAUUGUGCUUGUAAUAAUUUAUAUAUGUGAAUCUCCUCUUCAGCCAUCGGUAUUGUGAAACCUUAAAUGUAAUUCAACUCCACAUGAUGGUUUGCUAUGUCGGCUGAGAUUAUUAUAAGCAUAAAACUACCAAAUCUGGAACACCUGUACAAACAUAAAAAAACUCAAUUUGUAUACAGAUUAUUUGUUGAAAUGUUGACAUUUUAAAUAUACUUAGUAUACAAGGCAUAUUAAAAUUAAUUUUACUUCUCUAUAUUGUUUUCUGUUGUUUGCUUGUUUUUUUGAGACAAGAUCUUUCUAUGUAACCCUGCCUGGCCCAAAACUUGCUAUACAGACUAAGCUGCCAUCAAACUCACAGAAAUUUGCCUGCCUCUGCCUCCCAAAUGCCACAAUCAAAGGCAUACAUGCCACCAUGCCUAGCUUCUUCCCUGCUUUAUAGACGUGGC